ACUGAAACAUCUAAGUACCCGGAGGAAGAGAAAGCAAACGCGAUUUCCUGAGUAGCGGCGAGCGAAACGGAAUUAGCCCAAACCAAGAGGCUUGCCUCUUGGGGUUGUAGGACACUCAACAUGGAGGUACAAAGGAACGGGGUAAAUGAAGCGAUCUGGAAAGGUCCGUCAAAGAAGGUAAAAACCCUGUAGUUGAAACUUCGUUCCCUCCUGAGUGGAUCCUGAGUACGGCGGGACACGAGAAAUCCCGUCGGAAGCAGGGAGGACCAUCUCCCAAGGCUAAAUACUCCCUAGUGACCGAUAGUGAACCAGUACCGUGAGGGA
rnacentral:rRNA from 1 species